GAUGAAGAACGUAGUGAAAUGCGAUAAGUAAUGCGAAUUGCAGAAUUCCAGUGAGUCAUCGAAUCUUUGAACGCACAUUGCGCCCCUUGGUAUUCCAUGGGGCAUGCCUGUUCGAGCGUCAUUUGUACCUUCAAGCUCUGCUUGGUGUUGGGUGUUUGUCUCGCCUCUGCGUGUAGACUCGCCUCAAAACAAUUGGCAGCCGGCGUAUUGAUUUCGGAGCGCAGUACAUCUCGCGCUUUGCACUCAUAACGACGACGUCCAAAAGUACAUUUUUACACUCUUGACCUCGGAUCAGGUAGGGAUACCCGCUGAACUUAAGCAUAUCAAUAAGCGGAGGA
rnacentral:misc_RNA from 1 species